AUUGAACGCUGGCGGCAGGCCUAACACAUGCAAGUCGAACGGUAACAGGAAGAAGCUUGCUUCUUUGCUGACGAGUGGCGGACGGGUGAGUAAUGUCUGGGAAACUGCCUGAUGGAGGGGGAUAACUACUGGAAACGGUAGCUAAUACCGCAUAACGUCGCAAGACCAAAGAGGGGGACCUUCGGGCUUCUUGCCAUCGGAUGUGCCCAGAUGGGAUUAGCUAGUAGGUGGGGUAACGGCUCACCUAGGCGACGAUCCCUAGCUGGUCUGAGAGGAUGACCAGCCACACUGGAACUGAGACACGGUCCAGACUCCUACGGGAGGCAGCAGUGGGGAAUAUUGGACAAUGGGCGCAAGCCUGAUGCAGCCAUGCCGCGUGUAUGAAGAAGGCCUUCGGGUUGUAAAGUACUUUCAGCGGGGAGGAAGGGAGUAAAGUUAAUACCUUUGCUCAUUGACGUUACCCGCAGAAGAAGCACCGGCUAACUCCGUG
rnacentral:rRNA from 1 species